rnacentral:rRNA from 1 species
GAUGAACGCUGGCGGCGUGCCUAACACAUGCAAGUCGAACGGAGCUGCUUUGAUGAAGUUUUCGGAUGGAUUUAAAACAGCUUAGUGGCGGACGGGUGAGUAACGCGUGGGUAACCUGCCUCACACUGGGGGAUAACAGUUAGAAAUAGCUGCUAAUACCGCAUAAGCGCACAGUUCCGCAUGGAACAGUGUGAAAAACUCCGGUGGUGUGAGAUGGACCCGCGUUGGAUUAGCUUGUUGGUGGGUAACGGCUCACCAAGGCGACGAUCCAUAGCCGGCCUGAGAGGGUGAACGGCCACAUUGGGACUGAGACACGGCCCAGACUCCUACGGGAGGCAGCAGUGGGGAAUAUUGCACAAUGGGGGAAACCCUGAUGCAGCGACGCCGCGUGAAGGAAGAAGUAUCUCGGUAUGUAAACUUCUAUCAGCAGGGAAGAUAGUGACGGUACCNGACUAAGAAGCCCCGGCUAACUACGU